GAACCGGUAUUCGUCGCCCGCGCCAUCGCCGUCUCCGACGCUCCUCCGAUUCGAUUUCGCCAUCGGAAUCGCGCGGAUCGCUUCGGCGAUCUUCGGUUCCGUGGCGGUUGUCGGCAAGCUCGAAGCGGCUGGUUGUGAAGAUCGAGGUCGAUCAUCAGCCUGGCUGAGGUUGGUGCGGUCGCUGUCUGGUUCAGGUUCGUUGGUCGUGGAAUACGUGUGUGAGGACGAGUUCAGCUCGAUCAGGCGAUCUCGCUUCUCGAUGGCCGCUGCGACGCCGGAACAAUCCUCCUGCUGGGUUGCUUCGUGACGGUUAGUUCUUGACGUCGUCGUAGCUACUGCGGCUGGAGUUUCUCGAGGCCGUGUCCAAUGGAAAGGAGCGUGUGGCGAGGUCAGCCCAGUGGGAUUCGUGGAGGAUCGAUAGGUUUCAUCAGAGGCUGAAGGGAACUGCUUGUCUGUGUUGUGACACGUUGGAAUCGUCGGUGAGGUUGUGGCGAUGUUUGUCGAGACGAAGGAUGUCUGACAGAGAUGUCGGGGACGAGAGCUCCCCUGAUUUUUCAUGGGGGGAACUCAGUCUCUAAUCGUUCUUUUGUCAUCCAGGCCUUUGCCAUGACGGGUGCGCUCGCACGGCGGGUCAAGAAAGUCGAUAAAAGUUCACUUUUUUGGGGGGGGUUUGGAGGGGAGAUCGCACGGGAGUUGCCCGGGUUCUCCUCUCUCCUGUGCUUUUUCGCUUUUUCAUGUGCAUUCGCUGAGCCCGAUUUGCCCUUCUUUACAAUCCUUCUGCCAUGGCCGCAAAUUGCAUCCGAAGACUCUGAAACUUCAUCAGCAGGGCAAGCGUUUAUCCUCAAUUCCACACCGCGGAAGCUGAUGCUGUAAUUUGAGGUACUAAGGCCAUCUUAGAGGCUUUGAGUUCAAAUUUGAAUUAUUCAAUUCAAGUUGAGAAUUAGCAUAUGCAAGUUUCAGAACUGGCAUAAUUCAUACAACUAAUGCCAUGAAAUAAUUGGGAUUUGGGAACCAUAUUAGUGUAAAUUUUAGUGACGGUUUACUGUCUUUGGAGACACUAUGAGAAAUACUCUAGUGUUUUCAAGAAAAGUCAGCACCAUUGGAAAUAGGCCAGACAACUAUAAGAGCUACCUCCAUGUUCUGAUUAACCUAAGGUCAAACGUAUGUGCUCACUAUAAUGCGGAAGUAGCAUGUUCACCGAUAUUUUGUUUUAGUAAGGUUCAUGAACCGCCCCUUUACCUCUAGUUAGGUCAACUGCCUAUUUUACUUUUGCUAGAAUUAAACAAAUAGUCAAGUUUGCUCGGUAGGGCUCUUGCUCAUCAUACCAGAAUUGGCAUGAUUAUUCUGAUUUUACAAGCAGAAAAAAGAGCAACUAAUAUUUCCCGCAUGCCGCCGGUCUUUCAUUAGUUCUAACUAUCGCUCUUUGUUAUCUCGCUUAAAUCAUAGCUACAUCAAUAGUAUCAUGAAUUAGUCUUGUUUUGAUUUAUAAUGUACCUCUAUUGAAUUCAAUAUUAUGUUGAUAACAUGAAAGCAAGCAAAUAGGAUUGACAAUAUAAUUAUUAAUUACUGGUAAGUGCUAGCUGAUUUUUUCACCUCGGUGUUUCGGUUUCUGUGUCGACCUUGCAUAUCCUCUGAGGAUACAUCAAAUUAUAAUAUCUCCCAACAUUUUUGAAACUAUUUUUUCUACUUUCAUUAUGGUCAGUAAGUACAUCGUUAAUUGGUUGGUGAUCUCGUACCUUUGAUCGAGCAACACCAAUUUUCAUUU